AGUGAACGCUGGCGGCGUGCCUAAUACAUGCAAGUCGAACGGAGUGGCGCACGGGUGAGUAAUAUAUAGCUAAUCUGCCCCUUGCUGGAGGACAACAGUUAGAAAUGACUGCUAAUACCCCAUAGAGAGGGAUGAGACUAUAUCGUAUCAGCUAGUCGGUGGGGUAACGGCCAACCGAGGGUAUGACGCGUAACUGGUCUGAGAGGAUGAGCAGUCACAUUGGAACUGAGGCACGGUCCGAACUCCUACGGGAAGCAGCGGUAGGGAAUAUUGCGCAAGGGGGGUAACCCUGACGCAGCAACGCCGCGUGGAGGAUGACACUUUUCGGAGCGUAAACGUCUUUUGUUAGGGAAGCGGUACCUAACGAAUAAGCACCGGCUAACUCCGUGCCAGCAGCCGCGGUAAUAC
rnacentral:rRNA from 1 species